GUCUUCGUGGUGUAGUGGGCCAGCGCGCUGGAUGCGUAAGCCAGAAGUCCGUGGUUCAAUUCCCGGCGAAGGCC
rnacentral:tRNA from 1 species